rnacentral:rRNA from 1 species
CUUGCUUUCUUUGCUGGCGACCGGCGCACGGGUGAGUAACACGUAUCCAACCUGCCCUUUACUCGGGGAUAGCCUUUCGAAAGAAAGAUUAAUACCCGAUAGCAUAAUGAUUCCGCACGGUUUCAUUAUUAAAGGAUUCCGGUAAAGGAUGGGGAUGCGUUCCAUUAGGUUGUUGGUGAGGUAACGGCCCACCAAGCCUUCGAUGGAUAGGGGUUCUGAGAGGAAGGUCCCCCACAUUGGAACUGAGACACGGUCCAA